UACGUAGGGUGCAAGCGUUAAUCGGAAUUACUGGGCGUAAAGCGUACGUAGGCGGCUUUGUAAGUUAGAGGUGAAAGCCCGGGGCUCAACCCCGGAAUUGCCUUUAAGACUGCUAGGCUUGAAUCAUGGAGAGGUGGGUGGAAUUCCGAGUGUAGAGGUGAAAUUCGUAGAUAUUCGGAAGAACACCAGUGGCGAAGGCGACUCACUGGACAUGUAUUGACGCUGAGGUACGAAAGCGUGGGGAGCAAACAGG
rnacentral:rRNA from 1 species